rnacentral:rRNA from 1 species
AUGAACGCUGGCGGCGUGCCUAAUACAUGCAAGUCGAGCGAACGGACGAGAAGCUUGCUUCUCUGAUGUUAGCGGCGGACGGGUGAGUAACACGUGGAUAACCUACCUAUAAGACUGGGAUAACUUCGGGAAACCGGAGCUAAUACCGGAUAAUAUUUUGAACCGCAUGGUUCAAAAGUAAAAGACGGUCUUGCUGUCACUUAUAGAUGGAUCCGCGCUGCAUUAGCUAGUUGGUAAGGUAACGGCUUACCAAGGCAACGAUGCAUAGCCGACCUGAGAGGGUGAUCGGCCACACUGGAACUGAGACACGGUCCAGACUACUACGGGAGGCAGCAGUAGGGAAUCUUCCGCAAUGGGCGAAAGCCUGACGGAGCAACGCCGCGUGAGUGAUGAAGGUAUUCGGAUCGUAAAACUCUGUUAUUAGGGAAGAACAUAUGUGUAAGUAACUGUGCACAUCUUGACGGUACCUAAUCAGAAAGCCACGGCUAACUACGUG